UAAAUCAAAACUUUCAACAACGGAUCUCUUGGUUCUGGCAUCGAUGAAGAACGCAGCGAAAUGCGAUAAGUAAUGUGAAUUGCAGAAUUCAGUGAAUCAUCGAAUCUUUGAACGCACAUUGCGCCCGCCAGUAUUCUGGCGGGCAUGCCUGUUCGAG
rnacentral:rRNA from 2 species